rnacentral:misc_RNA from 1 species
GAUGAAGAACGCAGCGAAAUGCGAUACGUAAUGUGAAUUGCAGAUCUCUCAGUGAACCAUCGAAUUUUUGAACGCACAUUGCGCCCUGUGGUAUUCCGCAGGGCAUGCCUGUUCGAGCGUCAUUUCAACCCUCAAGCUCUGCUUGGUGUUGGGCCCUGCCCGCUGCGGCCGGCCCUAAAGACAGUGGCGGUGCCGCCUGGCCCUGAGCGUAGUACAUCUCUCGCUCCAGUGCCCGGUGGUAGCCUGCCAGAACCCCAACUCUCGUGGUUGACCUCGGAUCAGGUAGGGAUACCCGCUGAACUUAAGCAUAUCAAUAAGCGGAGGA